GCGCGCAGUGCACAAGUAGGCGGCGGCGAGGGGCUCCUCCGUGGCCAUGUUCCCAACGAGGCACACCAGUUGCGCGUUCGGCACGCCCUACGCCCUGCCGCGGAGCUGGAGGCACGCCGAGUUGAAGCCUUCCAUGCCUAGCGCCGCCGCAUCCGGGAGCAUGUCCGCCAGUUUCCACAGCUCGUCCGCCGGCUUGAGCAGCGGCAGCAUGUCCUCCAGCUUCCACAACACGCUGCCGGCUUGAGCAGCGGCAGCAUGUGCGCCUCCGCCCAUGGCUCCAGCUGCUGCAGCACCUCUAGCCUCUCCGACGCAAGGGUGAAUUGUGUGGGGGCACAGAGAUGCGCCUGGUCGGUGUGUAUGCAGUGAAGAUGUUGACAUAGGGCCUUGAUUUUUGGUGUGACAGUACGAGGUAACAGUGAGUGUUAAUUUUGGAGGUCUUCUUAAUUCUGUGAUUUAUGAUAAUGUGAGUAGAUCACAUCAGUUAUUAUUGGAGCCUCUUAUUAUUGUGUGAAUUGUUGAUUAACAAGGUGAGAGGACUUGUGGUUAUGUCAAAUGGAUCGACAAACCAUGGCAGGGAAGAGAGAGAAGUGUGAUUGUUGAUCUUGCUGGGAAGAAAGACGUUCUGGACAAGAAGCUGAAGGAGAAAGAUGGUGACAUAGAAGCUGCGAAGUAGAAGUAGAGAAUGGAGAAGAGAUUGACUGCAAGAAUGAUAGAGAUCGGUUGCUAUCCAGAGAUAGGAUGAUAAUGUGUGCUAUAUUUGUGUAUUUAAGUUUAGUCACAAUGCAAUGCAAUGGCAGGUCCUGAUGCAUUUUGUGUUAAGGUAUUUUGGUUUAGUCGAGAGAAAACUGGUACGUCGAUGAACUCAAUGAGAUGUACUACUGAAAUGUUGGUCUGGUUAGUGAAUGAAAAUGACAAUUCGAGAAGUUCUCUUUCCUGUACCAAUUUUUGACA